UGCCAGCAGCCGCGGUAAUACGGAGGGUGCAAGCGUUGUUCGGAAUUACUGGGCGUAAAGCGCGCGUAGGCGGUAAUUUAAGUCAGAUGUGAAAGUCCAUGGCUCAACCAUGGAAGUGCAUUUGAAACUGGGUUACUUGAGUACUGGAGGGGGUAGUGGAAUUCCCGGUGUAGAGGUGAAAUUCGUAGAUAUCGGGAGGAAUACCGGUGGCGAAGGCGACUACCUGGCCAGAUACUGACGCUGAGGUGCGAAAGCGUGGGGAGCAAACAGGAUUAGAUA
rnacentral:rRNA from 1 species